rnacentral:rRNA from 1 species
AUUAGAUACCCUGGUAGUCCGCACGGUAAACGAUGGAUGCCCGCCGUUGGGUAUUUUUAUUCAGUGGCCAAGCGAAAGCGUUAAGCAUCCCACCUGGGGAGUACGCCGGCAACGGUGAAACUCAAAGGAAUUGACGGGGGCCCGCACAAGCGGAGGAACAUGUGGUUUAAUUCGAUGAUACGCGAGGAACCUUACCCGGGCUCAAACGCGGCGUGAAUACUUUUGAAAGGAGGUAGUCAGCAAUGACACGCCGCGAGGUGCUGCAUGGUUGUCGUCAGCUCGUGCCGUGAGGUGUCGGCUUAAGUGCCAUAACGAGCGCAACCCCUACCGUCAGUUGCCAACAGGUAAGGCUGGGGACUCUGACGGGACUGCCGGCGCAAGCUGCGAGGAAGGCGGGGAUGACGUCAAAUCAGCACGGCCCUUACGUCCGGGGCGACACACGUGUUACAAUGGGGCAUACAGAGAGUUGGUCAUGCGCAAGCAUGAUCGGAUCAUGAAAGUGUCCCUCAGUUCGGACUGGGGUCUGCAACCCGACCCCACGAAGCUGGAUUCGCUAGUAAUCGCGCAUCAGCCAUGGCGCGGUGAAUACGUUCCCGGGCCUUGUACACACCGCCCGUCAAGCCAUGAAAGCCGGGGGCGCCUGAAGUCCGUGACCGCGAGAGGCGGCCUAGGGUGAAACCGGUGAUUGGGGCUAAGUCGUAACAAGG